rnacentral:miRNA from 1 species
UAACAGUCUCCAGUCACGGACA